GAUGAAGAACGUAGCGAAAUGCGAUAAGUAAUGUGAAUUGCAGAAUUCAGUGAAUCAUCGAAUCUUUGAACGCACAUUGCGCCCCCUGGUAUUCCGGGGGGCAUGCCUGUUCGAGCGUCAUUUCACCACUCAAGCCUCGCUUGGUAUUGGGCAACGCGGUCCGCCGCGUGCCUCAAAUCGACCGGCUGGGUCUUCUGUCCCCUAAGCGUUGUGGAAACUAUUCGCUAAAGGGUGUUCGGGAGGCUACGCCGUAAAACAACCCCAUUUCUAGGGUUGACCUCGGAUCAGGUAGGGAUACCCGCUGAACUUAAGCAUAUAAAUAAGCGGAGGA
rnacentral:misc_RNA from 1 species